rnacentral:rRNA from 1 species
AGAGUUUGAUCCUGGCUCAGGAUUAACGCUAGCGGCAGGCUUAACACAUGCAAGUCGAACGGUAAGGUCCUUUCGGGGAUACACGAGUGGCGCACGGGUGAGUUACGCGUAUGCAACCUACCAUUAACUGGGAGAUAGCUUCGAGAAAUCGAAAUUAAUACCCCAUAACAUUCCGAAUUCGCAUGUUUUCGGGAUUAAAGCUCCGGCGGUUUUUGAUGGGCAUGCGUGGCAUUAGUUUGUUGGUGAGGUAACGGCUCACCAAGACUGCGAUGCCUAGGGGAUCUGAGAGGAUGACCCCCCACACUGGUACUGAGACACGGACCAGACUCCUACGGGAGGCAGCAGUGAGGAAUAUUGGGCAAUGGGCGCAAGCCUGACCCAGCCAUGCCGCGUGCAGGAUUGACUGCCUUAUGGGUUGUAAACUGCUUUUAUACAGGAAGAACUUCCCGCUCGUGAGCGGGACUGACGGUACUGUAAGAAUAAGGAUCGGCUAACUCCGUGCCAGCAGCCGCGGUAAUACGGAGGAUCCAAGCGUUAUCCGGAUUUAUUGGGUUUAAAGGGUGCGUAGGCGGGAUAAUAAGUCAGUGGUGAAAUCUUUCGGCUUAACCGGAACAUUGCCAUUGAAACUGUUAUUCUUGAGUACAGUUGAGGUGGGCGGAAUGUGUCAUGUAGCGGUGAAAUGCUUAGAUAUGACACAGAACGCCGAUUGCGUAGGCAGCUCACUAAACUGUUACUGACGCUGAGGCACGAAAGCGUGGGGAGCGAACAGGAUUAGAUACCCUGGUAGUCCACGCCGUAAACGAUGAUUACUCGAUGUGUGCGAUAAACAGUACGCGUCUGAGCAAAAGCAUUAAGUAAUCCACCUGGGGAGUACGACCGCAAGGUUGAAACUCAAAGGAAUUGACGGGGGCCCGCACAAGCGGAGGAACAUGUGGUUUAAUUCGAUGAUACGCGAGGAACCUUACCUGGGCUUAAAUGUUUUUUGAUCUCCCUGGAAACAGGGAUUCCCUUCGGGGCAAAUUGCAAGGUGCUGCAUGGCUGUCGUCAGCUCGUGCCGUGAGGUGUCGGGUUAAGUCCCAUAACGAGCGCAACCCCUAUCAUUAGUUGCCAGCGGGUAAUGCCGGGAACUCUAAUGAAACUGCCCGCGUAAGCGGUGAGGAAGGUGGGGAUGACGUCAAGUCAGCACGGCCCUUAUGUCCAGGGCUACACACGUGUUACAAUGGUCGGUACAGAAAGCAGCGACUUGGUGACAAGAAGCUAAUCUCAAAAAUCGGUCUCAGUUCGGAUCGGAGUCUGCAAUUCGACUUCGUGAAGUUGGAUUCGCUAGUAAUCGCGCAUCAGCAACGGCGCGGUGAAUACGUUCCCGGGCCUUGUACACACCGCCCGUCAAGCCAUGGAAGCUGGGGGUGCCUGAAGUUCGUAACCGCAAGGAUCGACCUAGGGUAAAACCAGUGACUGGGGCUAAGUCGGAACAAGGUA